AGACAUGUGUCCGGCUGGUCGAGGAAGCAGUCUUGAAAACUGUUGGCUGUAACAGGUUCGGGGGUUCGAGUCCCUCACAUGUCGU
rnacentral:tRNA from 1 species